AUUGAACGCUGGCGGCAGGCCUAACACAUGCAAGUCGAGCGGAUGAAGGGAGCUUGCUCCUGGAUUCAGCGGCGGACGGGUGAGUAAUGCCUAGGAAUCUGCCUGGUAGUGGGGGCUAACGUCCGGAAACGGGCGCUAAUACCGCAUACGUCCUGAGGGAGAAAGUGGGGGAUCUUCGGACCUCACGCUAUCAGAUGAGCCUAGGUCGGAUUAGCUAGUUGGUUGGGUAAAGGCCUACCAAGGCGACGAUCCGUAACUGGUCUGAGAGGAUGAUCAGUCACACUGGAACUGAGACACGGUCCAGACUCCUACGGGAGGCAGCAGUGGGGAAUAUUGGACAAUGGGCGAAAGCCUGAUCCAGCCAUGCCGCGUGUGUGAAGAAGGUCUUCGGAUUGUAAAGCACUUUAAGUUGGGAGGAAGGGCGGUAAGUUAAUACCUUGCUGUUUUGACGUUACCAACAGAAUAAGCACCGGCUAACUUCGUG
rnacentral:rRNA from 1 species